GACGAACGCUGGCGGCGUGCCUAAUACAUGCAAGUCGAGCGCAGGAAAUCAUCCGAACCCUUCGGGGGGACGUUGAUGGAAUGAGCGGCGGACGGGUGAGUAACACGUAAAGAACCUGCCCUCAGGUCUGGGAUAACCACGAGAAAUCGGGGCUAAUACCGGAUGGGUCAUCGGACCGCAUGGUCCGAGGAUGAAAGGCGCUCCGGCGUCGCCUGGGGAUGGCUUUGCGGUGCAUUAGCUAGUUGGUGGGGGAAUGGCCCACCAAGGCGACGAUGCAUAGCCGACCUGAGAGGGUGAUCGGCCACACUGGGACUGAGACACGGCCCAGACUCCUACGGGAGGCAGCAGUAGGGAAUCUUCCACAAUGGACGGAAGUCUGAUGGAGCGACGCCGCGUGAACGAUGAAGGCUUUCGGGUCGUAAAGUUCUGUUGUAAGGGAAGAACAAGUGCCGCAGGCAAUGGCGGCACCUUGACGGUACCUUGCGAGAAAGCCACGGCUAACUACGUGCCAGCCGCCGCGGUAA
rnacentral:rRNA from 1 species